GUGCUCGCUUUGGCAGUACGUACACUAAAAUUGGAACAAUACAGAGAAGGUUAGCAUGGCCCCUGUGCAAGGAUUUAAAAAAAAAAAAAAGAUAACUUGAGAAAAUUU